rnacentral:rRNA from 1 species
GGACGGGUGAGUAACACGUGAGUUACCUGCCCCGAAGUGGGGGAUAGCCUUCCGAAAGGGAGAUUAAUACCCCAUGUGAUCGCAAGAUUAAAGGCGGCCAUCUGUGAUGGCUGUCGCUUCGGGAUGGGCUCGCGGACUAUCAGCUAGUUGGUGAGGUAACUGCUUACCAAGGCGAUGACGGGUAGCUGGUCUGAGAGGAUGACCAGUCACUCUGCAACUGAGACACGGUCCAGACACCUACGGGUGGCA